rnacentral:rRNA from 6 species
UGACUCCUUGAGAGUCCUGAAGGAACGUUGAAGACGACGACGUUGAUAGGCCGGGUGUGUAAGCGCAGCGAUGCGUUGAGCUAACCGGUACUAAUGAACCGUGAGGCUUAACCUUACAACGCCGAAGGUGUUU